rnacentral:rRNA from 1 species
UACGAAGGGGGCUAGCGCUGCUCGGAAUCACUGGGCGUAAAGCGCACGUAGGCGGACUCUUAAGUCGGUGGUGAAAUCCUGGAGCUCAACUCCAGAACUGCCUUCGAUACUGGGAGUCUCGAGUCCGGGAGAGGUGAGUGGAACUGCGAGUGUAGAGGUGAAAUUCGUAGAUAUUCGCAAGAACACCAGUGGCGAAGGCGGCUCACUGGCCCGGUACUGACGCUGAGGUGCGAAAGCGUGGGGAGCAAACAGG